rnacentral:rRNA from 1 species
GAUGAACGCUAGCGACAGGCCUAACACAUGCAAGUCGAGGGGCAGCGAGGAUGUAGCAAUACAUUUGUCGGCGACCGGCGCACGGGUGAGUAACGCGUAUGCAACCUACCCGACACAGGGGGAUAACCCGGAGAAAUCCGGACUAAUACCGCAUAAAACAGGGGUCCCGCAUGGGAAUAUUUGUUAAAGAGUUAUCGGUGUCGGAUGGGCAUGCGUUCCAUUAGCUAGUUGGUGAGGUAACGGCUCACCAAGGCAACGAUGGAUAGGGGUUCUGAGAGGAAGGUCCCCCCACACUGGUACUGAGACACGGACCAGACUCCUACGGGAGGCAGCAGUGAGGAAUAUUGGUCAAUGGACGGAAGUCUGAACCAGCCAAGUCGCGUGAAGGAAGACGGUUCUAUGAAUUGUAAACUUCUUUUGUCGGGGAGUAAAGUCAGCUACGUGUAGCUGUUUGCAAGUACCCGAAGAAAAAGCAUCGGCUAACUCCGUG